rnacentral:rRNA from 1 species
CCUACGGGAGGCAGCAGUGGGGAAUUUUGGACAAUGGGCGCAAGCCUGAUCCAGCCAUGCCGCGUGCGGGAAGAAGGCCUUCGGGUUGUAAACCGCUUUUGUUCGGGAAGAAAUCGACUGGGUUAAUACUCUGGUCGGAUGACGGUACCGGAAGAAUAAGCACCGGCUAACUACGUGCCAGCAGCCGCGGUAAUACGUAGGGUGCGAGCGUUAAUCGGAAUUACUGGGCGUAAAGCGUGCGCAGGCGGUUUCGCAAGUCAGAUGUGAAAGCCCCGGGCUCAACCUGGGAACUGCAUUUGAAACUACGAGGCUAGAGUGUGUCAGAGGGGGGUAGAAUUCCACGUGUAGCAGUGAAAUGCGUAGAGAUGUGGAGGAAUACCGAUGGCGAAGGCAGCCCCCUGGGAUAACACUGACGCUCAUGCACGAAAGCGUGGGGAGCAAACAGGAUUAGAUACCCUGGUAGUCCACGCCCUAAACGAUGUCAACUAGUUGUCGGAGAAGUAAACUUCUUUAGGUAACCGCAGACUAACGUACGUGAGUUAGUACCGCCGUCGGGUAGGUACGGUACGGCGAGAAGUUAAACGUAACGAAGUAGAAGUUAGUACGGCGUGAGACGUGCCGACGGACGACGACGACGGGAGGUUAGG